CAGUUAGGAGCUUAAACAUUAGAUCUCUUUGUUCGGGACUAGCUUGUUGUCGUUGGCAAGACAAAUAUAUAAUCGUCAGGUGGGCAUGCAUGUUGGUCAUCAUAUACUACAUAUACUACGAAUCUAGAGAUGGACGACGACUGACUAAGGUGGAUUAGUUAGCUCCCCGAGACCCGGCCUGAUGCAUGCAUGAGUAAAAGGUCCUGGUCCAAGAAUACCAACAGAGAAAAAAAUAAUUAAACAAAAACCAGAGCAGCUAGACGG
rnacentral:lncRNA from 1 species